rnacentral:lncRNA from 1 species
AGGGGACUCGCCCUCAGAAAUGUUCCUGAUGAGGCAGUUCCUAGUGGGAGGCCCUUCCACACCAUCCCUCUGGCUGAGGUACCUGGAAUCCAUUCGCGAACACCUAUUAGGAAGCACUGCCCUAAAAGUAUGAUUACAAUGCUAACAACAACCCACAUUCCAUCCUCCUAAAUCCUGCAAACAAAUAACAUAGUAAUAAUGGGGGAGAUGAAACUUGUGGCAAAGACAGCUAUUGUCCCACAAUAUCUAUUUUCUCCCUUCAGAAUGAUUGGACCUGAGCCCUUGAUUUUUAUCUGGGUAUAUAGCCCAUUUCCUAACUCCCCUCUUUGGCCACGAUUCUGUCCCUUAGCUGUCACUUAAAAAACUAGAUGUCUCCUAAGGACAUAGCUUCCCCUGAAGCCCUCUUAAUGAUGGCUCUUUCUUUUUUCCUAUAGGGUCCAAAGGUGGCAUCCAUGCCCUCCUUGCUCGUUAUUGCUGCCACCAGGUCAUUAUUCCUCUCUCCUUCCUAAAAAUCCAGCUCCACUGAAGCACAUGCCUUAAGAUUAUACCAUCUGUUGCCUCCAUUUAUUGCAGUUUUCUACCAUCUUCCUGGUCACUUCUCAUUUAUUGAAGAUUUUAGUCCCUGAGUUUUGGCAUAUCCCUUUACUUACAUUCUUGCCACCAUUCUUGGUGAUUUUAGUACGCACAUCGAGAAUUCAUCAAAUUCUUGGCUUCUCUCGUCCUUGCCCACAUUGUCUCCAUGGUCCUCUUUCCACCACGUGGGACUCAUUAACAGUCAUUCACUCUGGGGAUUGCAUGCUACAGAGGCUGUAACACUACACCCUGAAGUGAGACUACAGUGUUCCUCCAGGAGACAGACAGAAGCUGGUCGUUCGUGAUGCUGAUGAGCUGCCAAACUAAACAGCUCUGGAAUCAACUAGCCUUGGACUUUGUUUGCUUCCCGGGUAAUGUUGAUGCUGCUGGCUCAGGGACCACACUUUGAGAAGCAUUGAUGUAGAACUGAACAGGCUGACCACAGGCAGGAAACACACCUACAAGGUAUCCAUCACAGCUGACAGAAGAAUGGAACAAUGUGGUGCCUGGAGCCCAUCAUGCCCGGAGACCAACAUCCUGGACCCCCUCCUUACUGCCCAUUUUCCCUAUAUAACUGCCUCAAGAAUAUGAAAUCCUCAAAGAUGAGUUUUUGAGACAUUAGUCACCUGUCUUCCAAUUAGCCAGCUAAUCUAAUUAAACUUCCUUUCUUGAUGUCUAACUCAUUGUGAUUAAUUGGCUCAGAUCAGGCAAGCAGAGGGAGCCCACUGCUCAGUAUCAGAACAAAGAGCUCACAGUAUGGAGCCAUAAUGGAACUUGAUAUUUAAAGGAUGGGAGCAGCUGCCAGGAGCUAACAAAUGAGACUGGAAAGGAAUGGUCAUACAGAACAGUAAAUCAAGGGCGUGAUCCCCAAAUGAAGAAUGUUUAAGAAGAAAGGCAUAGUCACUUGGUUUGGAU